rnacentral:piRNA from 1 species
AGUUCUGGAGGCCAUAAGUUUGAAAUCAAGGU